CUCACAAAUCUCAUCCAGGCAGGCGCGUGGCUCCUUGGGCUGGCUUAUCAGCUCCAACCAGAGCCUGCCACACUGGCACUCCCCUUCAUAGCCUGAGAGGAAAAUAAAUUGUACCUGAGCAGUUAAUAAGAAAGAAUUACUGAACCCAGUGAUGAUUCAGCCUGGGUCAGAUGAACUGGUGUGGAUGAGUUCCUGAAUUCAGUUCUGAUCCAUGAGUGAGCACUGGACUUGCAGCUAGGAGCCCUGGAAGACGUUCUGGUGCAAUAGAAGGGACACUGGCUAUACAAUCCAAGGCCUUGAGUUUGAAUCCCAGUUUUGACACUUACCUGAGUCAUGGGUGUUUUGCCAAGAAUAAAAGGACAAGUCUAAUGGUCUCAUGUGGCCUAACACGCGGGUGAAGUUGGCUUUGGGGUCCACGGCCUCUUGACAUGAGAAUGUGCACAGGGACACAGAUGUGGGUGUGAGCUGGCUUCCAGGGCUCCCCAUUGUUCCAAUCCAGCUCUGGUGAAGCUCCCUUCCAGUGGGGCCUCAGCUCUGCGACUGUGCCUCCCUGGGGUGGCACAGAUUCUCCAUUCCCUCUUAGUUCCAUGCAUGAUUCAUAUGGCAUGUAAUCAUGCGUGUACCAAUUUUUCCCCCUCAUCUCCUAUGAUUCUUUGCAAGAGGACUGCGUUGCCAAUUGCAUUUAAUAACUCCUUGUAAGGACAUGUGGGCAGCAACCAUGUUUUCCAUCGUCUUACCGAGCCUAAAUCCCUAACUGUGAAUUUCAAGUGGAUGAGCCCUCUCAUAAUAAAGCAUUGUGGAACAAUAUGCCGCUGUCACAGAAAGAUUUGCUUUGACUGAAGAAUUGUCUGCCCAUGAGAGAGUAAAUGUUCUUGAACUAAAUCAGAGAAAGAAAGGGUUACUUGAGCUGGUUUGUACAAAGCCAGCCGGGUGCUGGUGUCAGGAUCCCAUGACCACUGAUUUUCACAGAGCUCAUGGUAGAGACGUCCCUGCCCAAGAAUUGUAGAGACGGUGCUUCAAGGCCGGCUCUGGUCUUCACUGCCUAUGGGACUUGACCUAGUCUCUCUACGGAGAUGGAGGUCUCAGUUUUCUCUUCCGAAAAGCACGGAGCUGGCCUGGAUGACCUCGCUGUAAAGCAAAGGUGGGAUCGGAGGCCUGCUUCAAAGUUCCAGCAGGCAGCCAGCUUGCUCCCUCCGUGGCCUCUCUCUUAGAACUCCCUUCCCUGCUGCUGCAUAGAGCACGUUGAGCUUCACAGACCACUUCGCCUGCCUGGAGGGCAGGAGUGCUCUCUCCGGUCUUUGUCCCCAGUGCCCUUCACGAGACCUGGUGCAUGGGAAGUGCUAGCAAAAGCGCUUUGAAUCUCAAGUGGCCCCAAAGACACGAUGACAGCAAUGAGUGAUUGGAGAGGAGGUGGGAGGGACGGCAGACGGCCGGCCCAAGAAGCAGAGGAUGGCUUCUGGCCCGGUGGGCUGAGCCUCCAGGGCUGACGGACGGGAGGGUGCCCAGGACACGGCGCGGAUGGAUCCCGCAGGAUGCGCCACGAGCCAAAGGCGUACAUCGAGACGGUCCCGGCCCAGACCCUUUGGACCACUUUGGCUUAAUCGCGCUGCGGAGGAGAGCCAGGGGCCAGCUCCAGCAGCCAGGUCUUACCUGCCCGGCUCCACCAGUGACUCGUGAUGGAGCCUGUCAUGGAGCUUCCCUCCGACCCGUGUCGGCCUCUCUGCUGUGACUGGCCUUCCAGCAAUUGUUUUGAGGAGGGCGUCAGCUUUCCUGGCGCCCCCUGCCCCGCACCGGGGUUCUGGACAGUGCAGGGCGGUCAGGAAGGAGGGGCCCGAGGCGCACGGUCGGCUCCACUGCUGUCUGCUAGGAAGUGCUUGGGCAAAUCACUACAUCCUCCCUGGCCUCAGUUUGCUCCGCUGUAGAAUGACAGGGCUGUGCUAAGUAUUUUCUCAGGCUCCUCUCAGCUCAAACCCCGCCCUUCCUCCUCCCUCCCCCCCAUUCUGUGCUGUCUCCAGUGGUUUGGAUGCAUCUGAGGGCCUCGCACCAGUACUAGCUUUCUGGUGAGUUGUUUGUCUCUGAAGUGGCCAGACAGUGUAGAAACCCACUGUAGGAAUCCAUCAGAGCAGUGUCCCUGCUACCACAAGCAGCGUCUGCUGUAGCUCCAGGUCCCAAGCAGGGCUGGCAGCAGUAACCGGCAUGAACGGAUGAGUCACAUUGGGCUCCCAUGUCUUUGCUCAGUGCCUUGCACUCAGCUGGAGAUUAAUAAGUGGGUAUGUUUUGGCCUCUGAUUCUGUCACUCCAAACCUCAGCUCUGACUGGGUCUCAGACCUUCUUGGGCGUUUUUUAUACCUUCCUAUUACUGUAUGUUGAGGAAUGAAUGCCUUGAUUAGUUUCAUGGCGCUGAGCUUUCUUUGCCCGAAUGGCCCAAAUCGUGGCGCCUUGGCUAGAGCCCUGGGGGCGGAGUUGGACUGGGCUGGACUCCCAACUCUGCUUUCUCCCUGUGUGACCUUCGUGUGUGCCCUGAGCCUCAGUUUCAAUGUCUGUAAAAAGAGGGGAUUGGAUCAAACGACCCUUUCAGCACUCAGUCUGGGAUCUGCUGCUUUUCCAAUGAAUUUUAACCAGCCCACUUGUCAAAGACAGCAGCAGCAGCUGCUCCCUCUGACACCGACCCUUUAAAGUCAACCAGAUCCCAUGCUGAGCUAAAUAUGACCCAGCCAUGACCAAGGACUGAUCUGACAAAGAGAGAUCUGCAGGAUUUCCCGAGUAGGAGCUGGGGAAAAAGGAAACCCCCCUCCCACUUCACAUAUCUCUUUUCGCCAAGCAAAUGAGUAAGUCGGAAGGAUGUGGUUCCAAUGUGGAAACCCUUUUCUGACUUCCUUCACUGCUGACCAUCAUCAGGUCUUGUAGCACUUGCUGUGCAUGAAAAUGGGUGGGCCUGACCGCUGCAGGCCUAGGGGGCUCUGUGGAUCAGUCUACAGGGAGGGGAGAGAAGGUGGGGGAGCCUUUUGGGUCAGUGCUUCAGGGCUGGCCAGUAGUGUGGUAGGAACGCACCAACCCCAUGGCAGACGGCUGAGAGGGAGAGAGGAUGGCCAGCCAGGAGGGUUGGCUCCACGGCACCAGGGGAGUCCCUGACAAUUCUGGAAGUCUCCAAGAUCCUUUUAGAAACUUCUUGGCUGAUCUACACAUUGGGAAGGAUGAACAGGAACAUCAGAAUUCUGCUGCUGCCACACUAUUGACCUGAAAAGAUGGUUCAAUGUGACAAAUCGAGUGGAAAUGACUGCCCAUGGGAUUGACUUAGGACGAGCAGAUGGUUUGGAGGGAGAAUUGUUUGCUCUCCAACCGGUAUAUUUCCUAUUUAGCAAAGCUGGCAAAGGGUCAUGCAGAGCAGAGAGGUAAAUUGUGGCCACAAAACCUUCUUUGGGUGUCCAUCUAUUUUCCACGUAGUAAAGGACAAUGCAUCUACGUCUGUGACGGCUCCCAAGGGUGGGUUGGGGGCACCUGCCCUUUUUUCUAAUUCUAGAGUAAAACCAAAAUGCCUCCCCUGAAGAAUCCAACAAAGAUUCCGUUGAAAAUUGAAUGGCUGAAUAAAA